GAUGAACGUUGGCGGCGUGCCUAAUACAUGCAAGUCGAGCGAACGGACGAGAAGCUUGCUUCUCUGAUGUUAGCGGCGGACGGGUGAGUAACACGUGGAUAACCUACCUAUAAGACUGGGAUAACUUCGGGAAACCGGAGCUAAUACCGGAUAAUAUUUUGAACCGCAUGGUUCAAAAGUGAAAGACGGUCUUGCUGUCACUUAUAGAUGGAUCCGCGCUGCAUUAGCUAGUUGGUAAGGUAACGGCUUACCAAGGCAACGAUGCAUAGCCGACCUGAGAGGGUGAUCGGCCACACUGGAACUGAGACACGGUCCAGACUCCUACGGGAGGCAGCAGUAGGGAAUCUUCCGCAAUGGGCGAAAGCCUGACGGAGCAACGCCGCGUGAGUGAUGAAGGUCUUCGGAUCGUAAAACUCUGUUAUUAGGGAAGAACAUAUGUGUAAGUAACUGUGCACAUCUUGACGGUACCUAAUCAGAAAGCCACGGCUAACUACGUGCCAGCAGCCGCGGUAAUACGUAGGUGGCAAGCGUUAUCCGGAAUUAUUGGGCGUAAAGCGCGCGUAGGCGGUUUUUUAAGUCUGAUGUGAAAGCCCACGGCUCAACCGUGGAGGGUCAUUGGAAACUGGAAAACUUGAGUGCAGAAGAGGAAAGUGGAAUUCCAUGUGUAGCGGUGAAAUGCGCAGAGAUAUGGAGGAACACCAGUGGCGAAGGCGACUUUCUGGUCUGUAACUGACGCUGAUGUGCGAAAGCGUGGGGAUCAAACAGGAUUAGAUACCCUGGUAGUCCACGCCGUAAUCGAUGAGUGCUAAGUGUUAGGGGGUUUCCGCCCCUUAGUGCUGCAGCUAACGCAUUAAGCACUCCGCCUGGGGAGUACGACCGCAAGGUUGAAACUCAAAGGAAUUGACGGGGACCCGCACAAGCGGUGGAGCAUGUGGUUUAAUUCGAAGCAACGCGAAGAACCUUACCAAAUCUUGACAUCCUUUGACAACUCUAGAGAUAGAGCCUUCCCCUUCGGGGGACAAAGUGACAGGUGGUGCAUGGUUGUCGUCAGCUCGUGUCGUGAGAUGUUGGGUUAAGUCCCGCAACGAGCGCAACCCUUAAGCUUAGUUGCCAUCAUUAAGUUGGGCACUCUAAGUUGACUGCCGGUGACAAACCGGAGGAAGGUGGGGAUGACGUCAAAUCAUCAUGCCCCUUAUAAUUUGGGCUACACACGUGCUACAAUGGACAAUACAAAGGGCAGCGAAACCGCGAGGUCAAGCAAAUCCCAUAAAGUUGUUCUCAGUUCGGAUUGUAGUCUGCAACUCGACUACAUGAAGCUGGAAUCGCUAGUAAUCGUAGAUCAGCAUGCUACGGUGAAUACGUUCCCGGGUCU
rnacentral:rRNA from 1 species